UCGGGAAUUUUGGGCAAUGGGCGAAAGCCUGACCCAGCAACGCCGCGUGAAGGAUGAAAUCCCUCGGGAUGUAAACUUCGCAAGAACGGGAAGAAUAAGUAAGAGUUAAUAUCUCCUACGAUGACGGUACUGUUUGUAAGCUCCGGCUAACUCCGUGCCAGCAGCCGCGGUAAUACGGGGGGAGCAAGCGUUGUUCGGAUUUACUGGGCGUAAAGGGCGCGUAGGCGGCCACCGCAAGUCGACUGUGAAAUCUCCGGGCUUAACCCGGAAAGGUCAGCCGAUACUGCGGGGCUAGAGUGCAGAAGGGGCAACUGGAAUUCUCGGUGUAGCGGUGAAAUGCGUAGAUAUCGAGAGGAACACCUGCGGCGAAGGCGGGUUGCUGGGCUGACACUGACGCUGAGGCGCGAAAGCUAGGGGAGCGAACGGGAUUAGAUACCCCGGUAGUCCUAGCCUUAAACGAUGAAUGCUUGGUGUCUGGGGUUUUAUAGUCCCGGGUGCCGUCGCUAACGCUUUAAGCAUUCCG
rnacentral:rRNA from 1 species